UAAAAAUUUAUGAUUUAAAAAAUUUAAUUUAAAUUUAUUUUACAUAUAAAUUUUAGUAUGAAUUUAUAAUUAUUUUAAUAAUAAUAAUAAAUUAUUUAUAGUAAUUAAUAUUAAAAAUUUAAGAAAUUAAGAUUUAGUAAUAUUAAAAUUAUUAACAAAUUUUGUGCCAGCAGUUGCGGUUAGACAAAAAAUAAUUUAAAUUUUAUCAGUAUAUAAUUAUUAAUAAAUAAUUUAAUUUAAAUAUUAAAUUAUUAGGUAAAAUUUUAAUUUAAUUAAAAUUUAUUUAAAAUUUAUGAUUUAUUAAAUUUUAUAAAAAACUAGGAUUAGAUACCCUAUUAUUAAAAAUUAAAUUUAUUACACUAAAAUAGUAAAUAAUGAUUUAUUGAAACUUAAAUAAUUUGGCGGUAUUUUAGUACAUUUAGAGGAAUCUGUCUAAUAAUUGAUAAUCCACGAAUAAAUUUACUUAAUUUAUAAUUUUAUAUAUCGUUGUUAAAAAAAUAUUUUUUUAUAAAAAUAAUAUUUUAAAAUUUUUAUAUAAAAUUAAUUCAGAUCAAGAUGUAGAUUAUAAUUAAGAAUAUGAUGGAUUACAAUAAUAAAAAUUAAAAUGAAUAAUAUUUUGUAAAUAAUAUUUGAAGGUGGAUUUAAAUGUAAUUUUAUUUAAUUUAAUAAAAUGAUUAUAUAUUAAAAUAUGUACAUAUUGCCCGUCGCUUUCAUUUAUAAAUUGAAAUAAGUCGUAACAUAGUAGAGGUACUGGAAAGUGUUUCUAGAAAGUU
rnacentral:ncRNA from 1 species